CCGCCCGUCACAUCACGAAAGUGGGUUGUACUAGAAGUCUGCGCGCUGACCCGCAAGGGGGCAGCGGCCCAAGGUAUGACUCAUGAUUGGGGUG
rnacentral:rRNA from 1 species